GAUUUUUCCAGAUUUUCAAAUACAGUACUUGUAUUUACAUAUAAUAAAAAAAUACAAGGUGAUUCAAUCACCACCUCAUACCUCCCAUUUCCAAGAGUCCCUCACAGAUGUAGCUGUGCUCCCCCCUCAGCUAUGCCUUCCCAUGUGGAACACCAGAGAGAGAGGGAAAGGGGAAAAUCAAAUGAGAGGCAUGACAGUUGUGUGAGGAGAGGCCUUCACACAUACACACACUUCGCAUUUUUGUACUCUUGGCAUAUAUUGCUCUCUCUCUCUUCCUCUCCCUCCCUCUCCCUCUCUCUGUCUCAUGUCUCCUGUCAUUUAGCUGGAGAAGCCACAGUGAGAAAACAAAAAAGCAACUUUUGGAAUGAGCAAGUCAGCAUCACAGUGGAUGAAGAAGCAGCUGCUCCCCCGUGGCUGGAAUCGAGCAUACCCUCAGAGCUGCACUAUGCAUCUGCAUGCAGAAUCUUGCAGAUCUGGGGGAAGUAGGAUCUAACAGCCAAUAAAUCUAAACGUCAUUUGAGUCAUUGACUGGUGG
rnacentral:lncRNA from 1 species